UGGGGUUCUCGCCGGAGCUUUGACCGGCCGUUUGGACGGCCAAACGACCUCCGUUUCGGCCCAAAUUCGGAGGAAGUGCUAUAUUCGACUAGAGGAACAAGUCUACGGUGGCUGAUUUCGUUUUUAACUGCCAAAUUCUCAGAUUUGUGAUGCAGAUAUCACUCCUGAGGAUCCACAGGUGGGACAAGGAGGACUUCAGGAUGCCCUUGGAGCGGUUUAGUGGAAUGUGUUUUAUUUUUUUUAUUGUGUUUGUGGUAUUGAGACCUUGUGAUAAGUGAAUUAUGGAUAAUGUAAUAAGACCUUAAUUUGAUUAAGGGGAUGUUUAUGAAAUUUUAUUUUGGAAUGCAAUGAUGUUUAUUAAA